GAUGAAGAACGUAGCGAAAUGCGAUAAGUAGUGUGAAUUGCAGAAUUCAGUGAAUCAUCGAAUCUUUGAACGCACAUUGCGCCCCUUGGUAUUCCAUGGGGCAUGCCUGUUCGAGCGUCAUUUGUACCUUCAAGCUUUGCUUGGUGUUGGGUGUUUGUCUCGCCUUUGCGUGUAGACUCGCCUUAAAAUAAUUGGCAGCCGGCGUAUUGAUUUCGGAGCGCAGUACAUCUCGCGCUUUGCACUCAUAACGACAGCGUCCAAAAGUACAUUUUACACUCUUGACCUCGGAUCAGGUAGGGAUACCCGCUGAACUUAAGCAUAUCAAUAAGGAGGA
rnacentral:misc_RNA from 1 species